AGCUCCAAUAGCGUAUAUUAAAGUUGUUGCGGUUAAAAAGCUCGUAGUUCGAGUUCAGUUCCGGACUGGCCGGGGAGGUCACCGCCCGGUGCUUCCCCGCCAGGCUCCGAACAGUAUCUUUGACUAGAUGCCACGCCGGAUUCGCCGGGGUGCUCUUUACCGAGUGUCCCGAGCGGCCGGUCAGUUCACCUUGAAUAAAUGAGAGUGCUCAAGGCAGGCUACUCCCAAAACUUAAGCCCGAAUGUUACCUGCAUGGAAUGAUGUAACAUGACCUCGGUCCCAUCUUGUCUGGUUCAUGGGUCCGAGGUAAUGAUAAACAGGGACUGUCGGGGGCAUCCGUACUACGACGCGAGAGGUGAAAUUCUGUGACCGUCGUAGGACGAACAACAGCGAAAGCAUU
rnacentral:rRNA from 1 species